rnacentral:rRNA from 1 species
UACGAAGGGGGCUAGCGUUGCUCGGAAUCACUGGGAGUAAAGGGUGCGUAGGCGGGUCUUUAAGUCAGGGGGGAAAUCCUGGAGCUCAACUCCAGAACUGCCUUUGAUACUGAAGAUCUUGAGUUCGGGAGAGGUGAGUGGAACUGCGAGUGUAGAGGUGAAAUUCGUAGAUAUUCGCAAGAACACCAGUGGCGAAGGCGGCUCACUGGCCCGAUACUGACGCUGAGGCACGAAAGCGUGGGGAGCAAACAGG